CUUCAUUAUCGUUGUCCAGUGUUACACACUGUACAUAUUGUGUAUGCUAUGCUUUUAUAUGCUCAGCAGCGUAGUAUGUUCACAUCAGUAUCACCACGAACACGUGAGGAAUUCAUUGUUCUACAACGUCUUGAUGGGGUGAUAUUACUAGGGAAUAGAUUCUGUCAUCUCAUGGAACCAACAUUACAAAAGGGGUCUGUCAUUGACCUACACAUCAUUGUGUGUGUGGUACAUGACUGUGCAUGGUGAAGUGUUAUAGCGCAGACAAGCAAAUUAACAUACUCAUCACCUUGUAUGGUCUCCUACCUUUCCUUUCUCCUUUCUCUCAAUAUCUUUCUCCCUCUCUCCCUUCCUUUAUUUCUUUUUUCUUUUUGUAAUAAGAAUCUACUCUCUUGGCAAAUUCUCAGAAUAUAAAACAAUAUUAUUAGGUAUAGCCCCAAAGUUGUACAUCAGAUCUCUAAACUUAGCUAUCAUAACUGCAACUUUGCACCCUUUUGAUCUGUAUUUUCCCAUUUCUCUUCCUCUGGUAUAACUAUAAGCAUUUUACUUUCUGUUUCUAUGUACUAAAUUUUUUUUAGACUUCACAUAUAAGUGAGACCAUGCAGUAUUUUUAAAGUUCUUUAGAUUCAGUAAUUUUAUUGCAAAUGGUGGCAUCUCCUUUGUUAAGGCUGAAUAAUAUUUCAUCACAAUUUCUUUAUCCAUUCAUCCAUUAAUGGACUCUUAAGUAAUUCCUAUAUCUUGGCUACUAUACAUCUGUUGCAAUGAUAUGCUGAUGUCUUUACAAGGUGGUGAUUUUGUUUCCUAUGGGUAUGUACCCACGAGAUAGAUUGCUGGGUCAUAUGAUAGUUCUAUUUUUAACCUACUCAGGAAACUCCAUACUGUGUUCUACAAUGGUUGUACCAAUCUACAUUCCCAUCAAUAAUGCACAAGAGUCCUUUUAAUUCAUACCUUUGCCAGAACUUGUUAUCUUUCAUCUUUUUGAUAACAGCCAUUCUUACUAGAGGGAAAGAAUGUCUCACUGUGGUUUGGAUUUGCAUUUCCCUUAUGGUCAGUGGCCUUGAGUAUCUUUUCACAUACCUGUUGGCCAUUUUUAUGACUUUGACUAAAUAACUAUUU
rnacentral:lncRNA from 1 species